GUCACAGCCAUACCACCCUGAACCACCUGAUCUCAUCUGAUGUUAGAAGCUAAGCAGAGUCGGGCCUGGUUAGUACUUGGAUGGGAGACUGACUGGGAAUACUGGGUGCUGUAGGCU
rnacentral:rRNA from 1 species